rnacentral:rRNA from 1 species
AUUGAACGCUGGCGGCAUGCUUUACACAUGCAAGUCGAACGGUAACAGGCCUUCGGGUGCUGACGAGUGGCGAACGGGUGAGUAAUGCAUCGGAACGUACCCAGAGGUGGGGGAUAACGCAGCGAAAGCUGUGCUAAUACCGCAUGUGAUCUGAGGAUGAAAGCGGGGGACCGAGCAGCAAUGUUUGGCCUCGCGCCUUUGGAGCGGCCGAUGUCGGAUUAGCUAGUUGGUGGGGUAAAGGCCUACCAAGGCGACGAUCCGUAGCUGGUCUGAGAGGACGACCAGCCACACUGGGACUGAGACACGGCCCAGACUCCGACGGGAGGCAGCAGUGGGGAAUUUUGGACAAUGGGCGCAAGCCUGAUCCAGCAAUGCCGCGUGCGGGAAGAAGGCCUUCGGGUUGUAAACCGCUUUUGGCAGGAACGAAACGGUGUCCGCUAAUACCGGGCGCUAAUGACGGUACCUGCAGAAUAAGCACCGGCUAACUACGUG